CGCGCAGUCGGCGCAGUCGCGCGCCGUUCCUGUCGGGUGGGAGGUGUGAUCAGCUGCGUGCACCAGCACACGAGGAGAGGAGCGAGAUGUUCGUCCUGCAGAGGUCUAUAUUAUCGGCCAGCAGCAGAAAUUGCGGAGGAUCAUGGACGCGGACGCUACCACCUUCGCAUAUCGGCGUAAAGGACGUUCAGCAAAGGGACAUCCACGAGGUUUCGGGAGAUGUGGUACCGAUAAAUAUGGUAAAGGGUAUCGGGCACCUCCGAGAUCCCCGACUGAACAAGGGCUUGGCGUUCACCCUGAAAGAAAGAAUAGCCCUCGGCAUACACGGGCUGCAGCCACCCCGAUUUAAGACGCAAGAGGAACAGCUGGCUCUGUGCAAAGCCUCAGUAAUGAAAUACUCGGAGGAUUUGAAUCGAUACUUGUAUCUCGUGGAACUUCAGGAGAGGAACGAAAGAUUAUUUUUUCGCUUGUUAAGCGAAAACAUCGAACAGAUGAUGCCGAUUGUCUAUACACCUACCGUCGGUUUGGCCUGCCAAAAGUUUGGCGUGAUAUAUCGUAGACCUCGCGGACUUUUCAUUACUAUAUACGAUAAGGGCCACAUUUACGAGAUCUUGAAUAAUUGGCCGGAACAAGCGGUGCGAGCUAUCUGUGUAACGGAUGGCGAGCGAAUUUUAGGUCUCGGUGACCUCGGGGCAUGCGGCAUGGGUAUCCCCGUUGGAAAACUGGCGCUUUAUACAGCUCUGGCUGGUAUCAAACCGCAUCAAUGUCUCCCGAUCACCAUUGACGUAGGCACUAAUAACGAGCAGCUAAGAAACGAUCCUCACUACAUCGGUCUUAACAAGCCUAGGAGCCAAGGUGCUGAGUAUGACGAAUUAAUCGACGAAUUUAUGGCUGCCUGCGUGCAAAAGUACGGACAAAACGUUCUUAUUCAAUUCGAAGACUUUGGAAACCACAAUGCUUUCCGUUUCUUAGAUAAAUACAGAGAUAAGUACUGUACGUUCAACGAUGACAUACAAGGUACGGCGGCGGUUGCGGUGGCUGGAAUCUUAGCGUCGCAAAGAAUAACUAAGAAAAGAAUGUCAGAUAAUAAGUUUGUCUUCCUCGGCGCCGGAGAGGCAGCUAUUGGAAUAGCCGAUCUGUGUGUCAAAGCGAUGGAAGCUGACGGUUCCACCCAGCAGCAGGCGCGCGAUAGUAUUUGGAUGAUGGACAUUGACGGGCUACUCGUGAAGAAUCGGCCCGAGGGUAAUUUGGAAGGCCACAAAAUCUGGUACGCGAAGGACCACAAAGUGAUGAAGACGUUAAUCGAAGUUGUGAAAGAAAUCAAACCUACUGUCUUGAUAGGCGCUUCGGCGGCGGCAGGGGCAUUUACUCCUGAAGUCUUAACGGAGAUGGCAAAAAAUAACGAGAGGCCGUUGAUUUUUGCUUUAAGUAAUCCAACCAGUAAAGCUGAGUGUACGGCGCAGCAAGCGUAUGAUCAUACCGACGGCAGAUGUGUAUUCUCUUCGGGUUCGCCAUUCGGUGAAGUGAAAUAUAAAGGAAAAACAUAUAAGCCUGGACAGGGUAAUAACGCAUACAUCUUCCCCGGUAUUGCUUUAGGCGUUAUCGCGACCGGAGUGCAUCACAUCACCGAAGAUUUGUUCCUGAUCUCGGCACAAACUGUCGCCGAUCACGUGAAAAAUGAGGAUCUCGAAAGGGGUAGUCUAUACCCGCCGUUAAAUAGUAUUCGCGAGUGUUCUAUCGACAUCGCGAUUAAAAUAGCUAAUUAUGCUUAUGCCAAAGGUGGUUUGGCAAGUGAAUAUCCGGAGCCGAAAGACAAGCUACAAUUUAUCAUGAGUAAGAUGUACGAUGCCAACUAUGACAGUCCACUGCCAAAUCUGUACGAAUGGCCGGGUGAUUAUGCCAAACCACGUAUCUUGCCGGAAAAAGACACAAUAGAAAUUCGUCACGAUUUAAAACAUCUGUAGCAGAUUUCCAUCGGCCGGAAUAGUUGGAGACUAUCAUUAUUUUUAAUGAAAAAAUAUCGAUGUCUCUUCAACUUAUAAUGACUUAUAAUCAAUGUCAUUCACAGCAUGUGCAAGCAGCAAAACGACUCAUAAACAGUUUUAAUCAUUAUGACGCGUUGGCGAGUCUAAACUCGAUACAUGUGAGACGACCACUUUGACACAAACUUCUUAAUUUAACUUCUUGCAGUCAAAAAAUAAAUUAUUAGUGUGAAUCACACAAAUAUUGUACUCUCUAGUAUUAAGAAAUUACAAUUUGUCGAUAUUCUUAUGCGUUUAAAUGUGCUUGAAUAAAUGCGUACUUAUUUAUGUAUUUGUAUUUAACGCAAUGACGUGGCGAUGUUUGACACUUCGCAGAAUCAUAUUUGAAUAGUAUACAACUAUUCAAUAUUCACUAACUUCGACAUGGAUUGUCAAGUAUUCCAGUAUACAUUACAGAUUAUUUAUUUUUCUAAGAUAUUCACCUGAAAUAAUCGUAAAGUUAUUUCUAAUAGCGUGAUACCACUCUGUAUUAUGUGGCAUGCACAGUACGUGAUCCAUUUGUAUUUUACAGCCGUUAGUUAGUUAAUGAAUAGCUGCUUUUUCUUAUAAUUAUUUGAUACGUGAUCCUUCAUCAGAAACAAAUCACUACCUCCUUCGUGAAUAUUUUCGAAGUAACAACUUGCAGUAAAUGAAAAAAUUCGCGAAUAACAUGACAAAAUAAUUUUGUUUUAAUCUUGUUAGUCUUUGGCGAUGGAGUGAUCAUGCAAUGAACUAGAAGAACCGUUAUGAUACAUCAAAACAUUAUAACACCAAUAUGUUUGUACUUUGUGAUGCGCAUUCUUGUAUUCUGCAAAAGACUGCUACAGAUCUAAUAAAUCUUUGACAAAAGGCAUCUAUGUUAUAUGAAAUAAGUAUUUAUCGAUAAUAUUGAUUACAUUUUUUAAUUACUGCCACAAAAUAAGGAAUUCAAAUCUGUGCAAUUUGUGUACAGAUAAGUGUAUCAUGCUGCCAUGGAUAAACGUCUUGACAGUAUUGUACAUCGCAGAAAAUAGAUUCUAUUAAAUCGUGAAAUGUUUGUGAAUUGCUACUAUGCGAAUUAUAACGUUAAAAGACUAUGAAUAAAUGUUAAAUCCUGGUCGUUA